rnacentral:rRNA from 1 species
GCAUGUCUAAGUAUAGCAUUGUACUGCGAAACUGCGAAUGGCUCAUUAAAUCAGUUAUCGUCUAUUUGAUAGUACCUUACUACUUGGAUAACCGUGGUAAUUCUAGAGCUAAUACAUGCUGCAAAGCCCGACUUCGGAAGGGUUGUAUUUAUUAGAUUAAAAACCAAUGCCCUCCGGGGCUCACUGGUGAUUCAUGAUAACUUCUCGAAUCGCACGGCCUUGCGCCGGCGAUGGUUCAUUCAAAUUUCUGCCCUAUCAACUUUCGACGGCUGGGUAUUGGCCAGCCGUGGUGACAACGGGUAACGGAGGGUUAGGGCUCGACCCCGGAGAAGGAGCCUGAGAAACGGCUACUACAUCCAAGGAAGGCAGCAGGCGCGCAAAUUACCCAAUCCCGACACGGGGAGGUAGUGACAAUAAAUACUGAUACAGGGCUCUUUUGGGUCUUGUAAUUGGAAUGAGUACAAUUUAAUUCCCUUAACGAGGAACAAUUGGAGGGCAAGUCUGGUGCCAGCAGCCGCGGUAAUUCCAGCUCCAAUAGCGUAUAUUAAAGUUGUUGCAGUUAAAAAGCUCGUAGUUGAACCUUGGGCCUGGCUGGCCGGUCCGCCUCACCGCGUGCACUGGUCCGGCCGGGCCUUUCCCUCUGGGGAGCCGCAUGUCCUUUACUGGGCGUGCCGGGGAACCAGGACGUUUACUUUGAAAAAAUUAGAGUGUUCAAAGCAGGCUUAUGCUCGAAUACAUUAGCAUGGAAUAAUGGAAUAGGACGCGUGGUUCUAUUUUGUUGGUUUCUAGGACCGCCGUAAUGAUUAAUAGGGACAGUCGGGGGCAUCAGUAUUCAGCUGUCAGAGGUGAAAUUCUUGGAUUUGCUGAAGACUAACUACUGCGAAAGCAUUUGCCAAGGAUGUUUUCAUUAAUCAGGAACGAAAGUUAGGGGAUCGAAGACGAUCAGAUACCGUCGUAGUCUUAACCAUAAACUAUGCCGACUAGGGAUCGGACGGUGUUAUUCUUUGACCCGUUCGGCACCUUACACGAAAGUACAAGUUUCUGGGUUCUGGGGGGAGUAUGUCGCAAG